GACGAACGCUGGCGGCGUGCUUAACACAUGCAAGUCGAACGGAAAGGCCCUGCUUUUGUGGGGUGCUCGAGUGGCGAACGGGUGAGUAACGCGUGAGUAACCUUCCCUGGACUUGGGGAUAACUUCAGGAAACUGGGGCUAAUACCGGCUAGGUGCUCCUGCUGCAUGGUGGGGGUUGGAAAGUUUCGGCGGUUGGGGAUGGACUCGGGGGUUAUCAGCUUGUUGGGGGGGUAGUGGCUUACCAAGGCUUUGGCGGGUAGCCGGCCUGAGAGGGUGACCGGCCACACUGGGACUGAGGUACGGCCCAGACUGGUACGGGAGGCAGCAGUGGGGAACAUUGCACAAUGGGCGGAAGCCUGAUGCAGCAACGCCGCGUGCGGGAUGAAGGCCUUCGGGUUGUAAACCGCUUUAGCCUGUGACGAAGCGUGAGUGACGGUAAUGGGUAAAGAAGCACCGGCUAACUACGUG
rnacentral:rRNA from 1 species